AAAAAAACGAUGACCUUCAAAAAACCAUGAAAUAAUCUUGAGACGAGGUAUCAGUGCUUUAUUCGGAAAAGGUAAAAAUCUCAUAUCACUGAACUCUUUCAAUUUCUUAAGAUUUGUGUUAGUGGGUUGCGGAUAACGGUAGCCGGUAGGCACAGAUCCGAUAUCCUAAAAUUUGGAAUACAUAAAUUAGGAUCCAUUAGAUCCGUCAACAUCUGCAAGUAAUUAUUUAUAUUACAUGCGGAUCCGACAUCCGCAACACUACGAUAAUAAUAUUUA
rnacentral:sRNA from 1 species